GACGAACGCUGGCGGCGUGCUUAACACAUGCAAGUCGAACGCUGAAGACCUGGCUUUUGUUGGGUUGGAUGAGUGGCGAACGGGUGAGUAACACGUGAGUAACCUGCCCUCUUCUUUGGGAUAACGCCCGGAAACGGGUGCUAAUACUGGAUAUUCACUGAUCUUCGCAUGGGGGUUGGUGGAAAGGUUUGUUCUGGUGGGGGAUGGGCUCGCGGCCUAUCAGCUUGUUGGUGGGGUGAUGGCCUACCAAGGCUUUGACGGGUAGCCGGCCUGAGAGGGUGACCAGUCACAUUGGGACUGAGAUACGGCCCAGACUCCUACGGGAGGCAGCAGUGGGGAAUAUUGCACAAUGGGCGAAAGCCUGAUGCAGCGACGCCGCGUGAGGGAUGGAGGCCUUCGGGUUGUAAACCUCUUUCGCUCAUGGUCAAGCCGCAACUGUGGGUUGUGGUGAGGGUAGUGGGUAAAGAAGCGCCGGCUAACUACGUG
rnacentral:rRNA from 1 species